GUGGGGAAUAUUGGACAAUGGGCGCAAGCCUGAUCCAGCCAUACCGCGUGGGUGAAGAAGGCCUUCGGGUUGUAAAGCCCUUUUGUUGGGAAAGAAAUCCUGUCGGUUAAUACCUGGCGGGGAUGACGGUACCCAAAGAAUAAGCACCGGCUAACUUCGUGCCAGCAGCCGCGGUAAUACGAAGGGUGCAAGCGUUACUCGGAAUUACUGGGCGUAAAGCGUGUGUAGGUGGUGGUUUAAGUCCGUUGUGCAAUCCCUGGGCUCAACCUGGGAAUUGCAGUGGAUACUUGAUCACUAGAGUGUGGUAGAGGGAUGCGGAAUUUCUGGUGUAGCAGUGAAAUGCGUAGAGAUCAGAAGGAACAUCCGUGGCGAAGGCGGCAUCCUGGGCCAACACUGACACUGAGGCACGAAAGCGUGGGGAGCAAACAGGAUUAGAAACCCCUGUAGUCC
rnacentral:rRNA from 1 species